rnacentral:rRNA from 1 species
ACUCCUACGGGAGGCAGCAGUGGGGAAUCUUGGACAAUGGGGGCAACCCUGAUCCAGCCAUGCCGCGUGAGUGAUGAAGGCCUUAGGGUCGUAAAGCUCUUUCGCCUGUGAUGAUAAUGACAGUAGCAGGUAAAGAAACCCCGGCUAACUCCGUGCCAGCAGCCGCGGUAAUACGGAGGGGGUUAGCGUUGUUCGGAAUUACUGGGGCGUAAAGCGCGCGUAGGCGGAUUAGUCAGUUAGAGGUGAAAUCCCAGGGCUCAACCCUGGAACUGCCUUUAAUACUGCUAGUCUUGAGUUCGAGAGAGGUGAGUGGAAUUCCGAGUGUAGAGGUGAAAUUCGUAGAUAUUCGGAGGAACACCAGUGGCGAAGGCGGCUCACUGGCUCGAUACUGACGCUGAGGUGCGAAAGUGUGGGGGAGCAAACAGGAUUAGAUACCCUGGUAGGAUAGCG